UACGUAGGGGGCAAGCGUUGUCCGGAAUCAUUGGGCGUAAAGCGCGUGUAGGCGGUUCGGUAAGUCGGGUGUGAAAACCCCAGGCUCAACCUGGGGACGCCACCCGAUACUGCUAUAGCUAGAGUCCAGUAGGGGAGUGUGGAAUUCCCAGUGUAGCGGUGAAAUGCGCAGAUAUUGGGAGGAACACCAGCGGCGAAGGCGGCACUCUGGGCUGGUACUGACGCUGAGGAGCGAAAGCGUGGGUAGCGAACAGG
rnacentral:rRNA from 1 species